GUAUCAUGGCUCAGGAUGAACGCUAGCGGCGAGGCUUAAUACAUGCAAGUCGUGGGGCAGCAGGUUUGUAGCAAUACAGAUGCUGGCGACCGGCAAACGGGUGCGGAACACGUACAGAACCUUCCUUUGAGCGGGGAAUAGCCCAGAGAAAUUUGGAUUAAUACCCCAUAGUAUAAUGAAGUGGCAUCACUUUAUUAUUAAAGAUUUAUCACUCGAAGAUGGCUGUGCGGCUGAUUAGGUAGUUGGCGGGGUAAAGGCCCACCAAGCCUGCGAUCAGUAACUGGUGUGAGAGCACGACCAGUCACACGGGCACUGAGACACGGGCCCGACUCCUACGGGAGGCAGCAGUAAGGAAUAUUGGUCAAUGGAGGCAACUCUGAACCAGCCAUGCCGCGUGGAGGAUGAAGGUCCUCUGGAUUGUAAACUUCUUUUAUAUGGGACGAAAAAGGCUUUUCUAAGUCGUCUGACGGUACCAUAUGAAUAAGCACCGGCUAACUCCGUG
rnacentral:rRNA from 1 species